rnacentral:rRNA from 1 species
UGGCCAAAGAUUUAUCGGUACAGGAUGGGCUCGCGUCUGAUUAGCUAGUUGGUGAGGUAACGGCUCACCAAGGCGACGAUCAGUAGCCGACCUGAGAGGGUGAACGGCCACACUGGAACUGAGACACGGUCCAGACUCCUACGGGAGGCAGCAGUGGGGAAUAUUGCACAAUGGGCGCAAGCCUGAUGCAGCAACGCCGCGUGAGUGAUGAAGGCCUUCGGGUCGUAAAACUCUGUCCUAAGGGAAGAAGAAGUGACGGUACCUUAGGAGGAAGCCCCGGCUAACUACGUGCCAGCAGCCGCGGUAAUACGUAGGGGGCAAGCGUUAUCCGGAAUUACUGGGCGUAAAGGGUGCGUAGGCGGAUUGAUAAGUCAGUGGUGAAAGCCUGCAGCUUAACUGCAGAACUGCCAUUGAUACUGCCAGUCUGGAGUAUGGUUGAGGUAGCUGGAAUGUGUCAUGUAGCGGUGAAAUGCUUAGAGAUGACACAGAACACCGACGGCGAAGGCAGGUUACCAACCCAUUACUGACGCUGAGGCACGAAAGCGUGGGGAUCAAACAGGAUUAGAUACCCUGGUAGUCCACACUGUAAACGAUGAUAACUAGCUGUCGGCGAUACACAGUCGGUGGCCAAGCGAAAGCAAUAAGCACUCCGCCUGGGGAGUACGGUCGCAAGACUGAAACUCAAAGGAAUUGACGGGGGCCCGCACAAGCGGAGGAGCAUGUGGUUUAAUUCGAUGAUACGCGAGGAACCUUACCUGGGCUCGAACGUAUAGGGAAUAUGUCAGAGAUGGAUUAGUCCUUCGGGACAUGUAUCGAGGUGCUGCAUGGUUGUCGUCAGCUCGUGCCGUGAGGUGUCGGCUUAAGUGCCAUAACGAGCGCAACCCUUGUCGUUAGUUACCAUCAAGUAAUGUUGGGGACUCUAGCGAGACUGCCACCGUAAGGUGUGAGGAAGGGGGGGAUGACGUCAAAUCAGCACGGCCCUUACGUCCGGGGCGACACACGUGUUACAAUGGUAGGUACAGAGGGCAGCUACCCAGCGAUGGGAUGCGAAUCUCAAAAACCUAUCUCAGUUCGGAUUGUAGGCUGCAACUCGCCUACAUGAAGUUGGAUUCGCUAGUAAUCGCGCAUCAGCCAUGGCGCGGUGAAUACGUUCCCGGGCCUUG